rnacentral:rRNA from 1 species
UGCCAGCCGCCGCGGUAAUACGGAGGGGGCUAGCGUUGUUCGGAAUUAUUGGGCGUAAAGGGCGCGUAGGCGGCUAGGCAAGUCGGAGGUGAAAUCCCUCGGCUCAACCGAGGAAUUGCCCCCGAUACUGCCUGGCUUGAGUCCUGGAGAGGGUAGUGGAAUUCCCAGUGUAGCGGUGAAAUUCGUAGAUAUUUGGAGGAACACCAGUGGCGAAGGCGGCUCACUGGCUCGAUACUGACGCUGAGGUACGAAAGUGUGGGGAGCAAACAGGAUUAGAUA